CUUAACUGUUUACAGUUAAACAACAUAUUCAUAUUUAAUUGAAAUAUGAACAAAUUAUCUUUUGAUUGCUGGUUCCAAGAUGGUCUUUAUGGAAAUCCUGUUUGGCUUUUUAUCAUUUUAAUUCUCUUUUCAGUUUGCCAGAACAGUUCUCCACAGUCACUGUCCAUGUGGGUCAGUGGGACCAAGGAGUACUCUGACCAGCAACAUCCAGCAAGACCCAGACAACGUUUUCUAUCUCCCAGCUGGAGUUUUUUGUUUGUCUGUGACCGGAGAGUCAGAUUUUUGUCGAGGCUGGAGGAACAGCCUCACACUUGCAGAGGUUAAUACACGCUACUGAUCCCUGAUGGGAGAAUCAUCACCUCUGCCAACAAAGAAGCCUGGUGGAUGAUUGUUUACAGUCUGAUGAUGGGACAUCAUGCUCUGCAUCUUCAAAGUUUGUCUGUUGAUUAUUAUUCAUACACAGUAAUGUGAAGUAUGCUCAUAUCUAGUAUAACUGGACCAACCUGGUGUUCUUCAUUUAUGGAGGCUGUUUGAGUCUGAAUGUUGGAUGUUGUGUAUCUCGUGUUCUCUGGGCUUUGUUGUCCUAUAUGAUGAUGCUCGUCUGCACUGCACAGAGGAAAUCAACUGAUAUAUAUAGAACCACAUGUUGUCCAUAGUAUGUGCUUUACAUUUUACUGUGAUUUACUGUGAUAUUUGUUGCCUGAUGUUCAGCAGGAAUGGAGAAAUGGGAUAAAAGGGAGAUGUUUUUGCUGUUUUUUGUAAUGACAUGAGUAAAUCCUCAAUAUUAUUUAUUUGCUUGGUUAUUUUAGGAGUGUUUCUGAGUGAGGGAGAGAGGAGUCAUCAACCAGCUUCAAAGAAAACAUCCAGGUAAAGUGACGUGGAUCAGUGGAUAAACUUGUCUCGGCUUUCAAAGGAGAUACUCUUAGAUAGAGACUAUCUGAGCCAUCCUUAAAUGAUAGUGCUUUCAAAUACACAAACAUUUUCAAAGGACAAAAAUUAAUAUCCAACUUUGACCGUAAUACGAAUAAAGUAUUGCAUGUGUGUUUUCAAACUGUUCAUCAGAUGGGCAGGAUAUCACUAUUGGACUGUCUAACCUGCCAGAGCAGCAUUGAGUGACCACCACACAUGAGCAUGUUCCUGCAACAUUCAGCAUCUGAUCCUUCAUCUGUGUGCUUCUGCUUUUGGUAAGUAGAGUUACCUAACUACAGUAAUUCUAAACAUAUGCCAUCCAUUUCUAACGGCCUGGUUACUUCCUGUCAGUUAUUUUAGGAACACUGUUUCUUCUUGUUCCCCUUAAUGUUGAAGUGUCAAAUGUCAAAAACGUUUCAUUGUGACAUCACCAAAGACAGCCCCGCCCACCUCAGGACCUCGCCGUGGUCAUGAUGAUUAUAAUGAUGACAGUAAGCGGAAAUAAGACUGUAAAAAUCCACGACCAGAAUGUUUAGAUGCUUUCUAAUUAUUAAUGAAUACUGAGAGCCUCUUUCUGUAUUUUGUCUGUUUUGUUUGGGUUUUUUGGGGGGGGGGGUUUACCUCAUUUGUUACUAACAAAGUUCACCAAACUCACACAGUUUACAUUCUGUAUGUGUUUUCAUCUUUACCAGCCACCCUCUAACUGCAAUUAAGAAAACAAACCUUAAAAAUCGUUGUUUUUCUCUUUUGUAAUUGAUGAUAAUUCAGUGAAAAUACUGCGCUGCUUCCCUUUGUUUCAUCCCACAUUGCUUUAAGUUUUUCAGUGUCCAGUUAUUUUUUACUGCUGUUUGAAUUCACUGUAUGGACUGCUUGUCUUCCUGUUUGUAACCGCCGCCUGUUUUUGACUAAAGAUUUGGAUUUCUGACUUUAACACAGCCUCUGCGUGUCCUCCCUUUGUGUCCUCUUCCUGUGUGAAUGUGUUACUUGUGUCACAGAUUUAUUUUAUUAACAGC
ensembl:lncRNA